rnacentral:rRNA from 1 species
AAUCGAAGCAGUGAACUUAAGCCCCAGUAAACGGCGGCCGUAACUAUAACGGUCCUAAGGUAGCGAAAUUCCUUGUCGGGUAAGUUCCGACCCGCACGAAAGGCGUAACGAUUUGGGCACUGUCUCAACAACAGACUCGGUGAAAUUGUAAUUCCGGUGAAGAUGCCGGAUACCUGCGACAGGACGGAAAGACCCCAUGGAGCUUUACUGUAGCUUGACAUUGGGUCUUGGUACUACAUGUACAGGAUAGGUGGGAGGCUUUGAAACCAGGACGCCAGUUUUGGCGGAGCCAUCCUUGGGAUACCACCCUUGUAGUACUGGGACUCUAACCAUAGGCCAUGAAUCUGGUCUUGGGACACUGUCAGGUGGGCAGUUUGACUGGGGCGGUCGCCUCCCAAAAGGUAACGGAGGCGCUCAAAGGUUCUCUCAGUACGGUCGGAAAUCGUACGUAGAGUGUAAAGGCAAAAGAGAGCUUGAUUGCAAGACAUACAGGUCGAGCAAGGAUGAAAAUCGGACUUAGUGAUCCGGUGGUUCUGCGUGGAAGGGCCAUCGCUCAACGGAUAAAAGCUACCCUGGGGAUAACAGGCUUAUCUCCCCCAAGAGUCCACAUCGACGGGGAGGUUUGGCACCUCGAUGUCGGCUCAUCACAUCCUGGGGCUGUAGUAGGUCCCAAGGGUUGGGCUGUUCGCCCAUUAAAGUGGUACGCGAGCUGGGUUCAGAACGUCGUGAGACAGUUCGGUCCCUAUCCGUCGCAGGCGUAGGAAAUUUGAGAAGACCUGUCCUUAGUACGAGAGGACCGGGAUGGACGUACCUCUGGUGUACCAGUUGUUCUGCCAAGGGCAUGGCUGGGUAGCUAUGUACGGAAUGGAUAAGCGCUGAAAGCAUCUAAGCGCGAAGCCAACUUCAAGAUAAGAUUUCCCACCGCAAGGGUAAGACCCCAGAAAGACUAUCUGGUUGAUAGGUCGAAGG